CAGCCGCCGCGGGAAUACGUAGGUGGCAAGCGCUGUCCGGAAUUAUUGGGCGUAAAGGGCUCGCAGGCGGUUUCUUAAGUCUGAUGUGAAAGCCCCCGGCUCAACCGGGGAGGGUCAUUGGAAACUGGGAAACUUGAGUGCAGAAGAGGAGAGUGGAAUUCCACGUGUAGCGGUGAAAUGCGUAGAGAUGUGGAGGAACACCAGUGGCGAAGGCGACUCUCUGGUCUGUAACUGACGCUGAAGAGCGAAAGCGUGGGGAGCGAACAGGAUUAGAUACCCCUGUAGUCCCUGUCUCUUAUAC
rnacentral:rRNA from 1 species